AGUGAACGCUGGCGGUAGGCCUAACACAUGCAAGUCGAACGGCAGCACAGGAGAGCUUGCUCUCUGGGUGGCGAGUGGCGGACGGGGGAGGAAUACAUCGGAAUCUACCUUUUCGUGGGGGAUAACGUAGGGAAACUUACGCUAAUACCGCAUAAGACCUACGGGUGAAAGUGGGGGACCGCAAGGCCUCACGCGAUUAGAUGAGCCGAUGUCCGCUUAGCUAGUUGGCGGGGUAAUGGCCCACCAAGGCGACGAUCGGUAGCUGGUCUGAGGCGCUGAUCGGCCACACUGGAACUGAGACACGGUCCAGACGCCUACGGGAGGCAGCAGUGGGGAAUAUUGGACAAUGGGCGCAAGCCUGAUCCAGCCAUACCGCGUGGGUGAAGAAGGCCUUCGGGUUGUAAAGCCCUUUUGUUGGGAAAGAAAUCCUAUCGGUUAAUAACCGGUGGGGAUGACGGUACCCAAAGAAUAAGCACCGGCUAACUUCGUGCCAGCAGCCGCGGUAACAC
rnacentral:rRNA from 1 species